UAGUUUUUAAAAUGACCUAUUUCCUCGAAUCUACUACAUUAUAUAUACAUAUCUUUAAUUUGUGUUUUUAUGAACCUUAAGAUAUUGUUGAGGUACACUGGCUUAAUAUAUAUAUAUAUUCACUUUAAAUUUUACUUUUUAACAUUCCUAUUCUGCGCUAGAUGGCACUCUGAAUUUAAGCUGUAAUGUGUGCUGUUGUAGUAGGCGCUUGACGGGGAUACGUGCUGUACGGGAUAGGUCUCUCCCUAAGCAUAGUGAAAGGGUGCUGUUGUGUUCAGACAGACUGUCCUUGCUAACGAAGUAAACAAGAUAAGAAGGCGAAGGAAUGAGAAAACAAUAGGAGCCAAAUAAGGAAUUGUGGUAAGGGGUUAAGAUCCAGUACGGACAAAUCAGGACAGGGCACGAUAGCUUAAGUAAAGGUAUAUAAGCUGUGCUUAGUAGUGAGUAGACGCCAUUUUACUGCUCAUCAUAUUGUUGUGCGUCUGCAGUCAUUUAGCCCUGAUCAGGUAAUUGGCCAGUGUGCACAAGAGAGCUAACACAGGAGGCUAACAUCACAGUUGCAGAAGGCAACAAAUGGUGCCCCGUGUGAGGCAGAAGAUUGUGUUUGAUGCCCUUUGUGCAAAUACCAGAGCUGGGGUGAUGACAGCCUGACUAGCCCGCAGCGGCAGGGAGCCCUGCAGAAGACCGAGGCGAUGGCGGUAUUGCGCACAAGUGUAGCCUGCAGCACGGAAACCUGAGGUGAUGGCAGGGCGCUUGCAGAAGACUGAGGUGAUGGUGGUAUUGAUUGCAAGUGUAGCCUGCAGACGAUUGGGGUGAUGCCCUGCAGAAGAUCGUGGUGACGACGAUAGUGCCGGCUGGCAAGUAGAACCUGUGUUGCGGUGUGGUCUGGGGAGGAUGACAGGACGCCCACGGAGACCCAUGGUGACGGCGGUCUCCCGAGGUGACAGCAAAGAGUUGACCAUGGAACAUGUUCUUAAGGUCCUUGUGAGAGCCCUUCUUUGUCUUCUGUCUCAAAGCUUGCUUCCUGAGGUAUUCCUUGUGAUAAGACUCUUAACUGAUUUAUGGAGGUGGCAAAUGAUGGGUGCUACCGUGUGACAAUCAACAUCACUUUGACAUUUGAAAGCACCUUCCUCCAGAGCUGCUUGCCUCCGGAAGAGAGUGCUCAGGAGUGGUUACUGGCGGAAGAUCUGGCCUAAUAGCCCCAGCUUGGUGUGGGAAAACUGGGGAACAAUACCAUCGUGCCCUGUGAGAAACAGGAUGCAGAUGGGCAUCCCUGCUUCCUCUUAUCUGUUGGCAAGGCCCGGAAGAUGAUAACAAAGGAAUUUCUGCUGAGAUCCCAGAGCCAGUAGCUGCCACUCCAAGGAGAGCUGACUCAACCAAUUUGGACUUACAAAUAAGUUUGUACUGCCAUCGUUGUCGUGUUCGCUGCUGUGGUCACCACUGUCAACAAAAGACUCGACGACCCACCACUACUGAAAAUCAAUGACUGAACUACGAACCACGUUGGACUAUGGUGAAAGUGAAAAGCAGCAAGUGAAACAAUGCAUUGUACAAAAGAAGCUACUGAGACAAACAUUUAAGAUCUUAUCAAACACAGAUCUAAGGCUUAUUCUCGGUGAUGCAUUGAGACUACAAGCAGUGACAGAGACUGAACUAGGCUGACCACUGUUCUGGAGCCUACAGUGAGGAUCCACAGCAAAGAUGUGGAGCUUGCAAAUCACAUGGACACAGAGAGACUUCUGUGAGAAAUUGAACAGAUCAGUCAAAUUCCAGAGAUUAUGGAAAGAGUCUUAAUACAGAGAGGGGAAAAAAAAAAAAAAGGCACCAAAACAAACAAACAAGCGAACAAACAAGAAAAACAAACAAACAAACAAACAACAACAACAGCAACAAAACAAUUCAGUGCCUGAAAUCAGUCAAAAGGGGCAGAUUGUGUAUAGUGCUUGUAAAAAUGCUUGUAAAAGUCUUAUAUGGCCACUGCAAUAUUUCUUCAUUAAAAAAGAAAUACUAUUGUUCAUAUUCUAAUAAGGAAUGGUGAUUUUUGAUUUAAAAUCUCUGUUAGUCAUUUAUGGGGAGCCAAAUAUUUGGGGGGGGGGGGGGGGGGAAGUGGUCAUUGCAUCAUAUGCCAGUUUGUAAGAGGUUGCUUCAUAUCCAUGUAAGGAAAAUGUAAAGAGAUGUUCUUAUCAGUAGACAACCAUUCCACAAGAACAGACUUAAUAAAUUAAUCUCAUAAUAUUCUUUUGAUAACUUUCACAAAUUUUUACAAAUUUCAAAAUGUUCUAUGUGAGAUAAAUAGCACUGUACAAUUUGGUAAUUUAUGAACUUCUUUCUGAGUAUAAAGUUUAUGCCUAUAUUCUGAUAUUUAAUCUUGAUUUUGUG
ensembl:lncRNA